rnacentral:rRNA from 1 species
GAUGAACGCUGGCGGCGUGCCUAAUACAUGCAAGUCGAGCGAACGGACGAGAAGCUUGCUUCUCUGAUGUUAGCGGCGGACGGGUGAGUAACACGUGGAUAACCUACCUAUAAGGCUGGGAUAACUUCGGGAAACCGGAGCUAAUACCGGAUGAUAUUUUGAACCGCAUGGUUCAAAAGUGAAAGACGGUCUUGCUGUCACUUAUAGAUGGAUCCGCGCUGCAUUAGCUAGUUGGUAAGGUAACGGCUUACCAAGGCAACGAUGCAUAGCCGACCUGAGAGGGUGAUCGGCCACACUGGAACUGAGACACGGUCCAGACUCCUACGGGAGGCAGCAGUAGGGAAUCUUCCGCAAUGGGCGAAAGCCUGACGGAGCAACGCCGCGUGAGCGAUGAAGGUCUUCGGAUCGUAAAACUCUGUUAUUAGGGAAGAACAUAUGUGUAAGUAACUGUGCACAUCUUGACGGUACCUAAUCAGAAAGCCACGGCUAACUACGUG